ensembl:rRNA 5S_rRNA 5S ribosomal RNA
GUCUACAGCCAUACCACCCUGAACACGCCCACCUGGUCUCGUUUGAUCUCAGAAGCUAAGUCGUGUCAGGCCUGGUUACUACUUAGAUGGUAGACAGAUUAAAAGAAAUAUAGGUGAUGUUUUCA